rnacentral:lncRNA from 1 species
GCCAGAGCUGCAAGGGGAAGGACUAGAUGACAUAAUCAUAAACCCACAAGGUAAUUUUGGGGGGAAAUAUGCCUGAUUCUCAUUACUAGUUUACCUUACUUUAAAAUGAUACUAUACAUAAAGUCAUAUCAAGCCUAAAACUUUGUGUGUCACUUAACAAAGCGGCCUGUGCUUUGUCAAAUUAGAUGAGGUAGACAUGUCCAGUGGUGUUUCCAGCGAUGAGGAGGGGUUUUCUGGCCGACAUCAGACCCAGAACAAAAUGAAUCAAGGAUCCUCUUCAAUGCCGCAUUCCAAGGAUGACAACCUGAUUGAUUCUUCCAGUGAUGAGAUGGAGUAUGCUGACCUGCGUGCGAUGCACAGUGAGAGGACUCAAGGUGUAGGGCGGAAACGGUCCCAGAAAAACCUUGAGAAAAGUCCUGAUUCCACCCUACAAACCACCAUGAGCCACACAAAACCAAGUGCAGAUGUCAACUUGAGGAGGAAGUGGGAGACUGCUGAAGUCAAAGCAAUUGAAAGACAAUUAAUGGACCACAUCAGGGGAUGUAAAGUUCCUGGAAAGAGGCAAUGCAUGUCUUGUCUGUUGAGCGAACCGGUAGCACUGAAAAGUCGGAAUUGGUCGAGCAUAAAGUACUACGUCAACAACCGUAUUGUUGCCCUGAAACGAAAAAUGCG